UGGGUGCUUGUUACUGGAUAGCACACGAGUUCUUACGAGCUUGUGGGGUAUGGUAAUCAAGACAUACCCAGCACGUAAUUUUUGUAGCCACUGUGGCUCCCAUUACCAUAAUGUGGUAAACAC